ACUUCAUCAAAUUCACUGCAGCUUUGCCAUCAGUCUUAGCUGCCUCUCGCAAGUUCUUAAUCGACCACACAAUCGGAAACAAUACAGCACAACAACACACAAUAUCAACAAGCAAGAAAACCUGCUUCCAUGUGUAUGAAUUUUCACCAAAAGGUCCAGUUUCAUCAAUCACAACCUGUGCAAGAUUGGCCACAACUUGCAAAGGAAUAACAAUCAUCAAAACCUUCUUCUCUUUAUCUUGCAAGUAGGGCUUCAGAAAUGACCAACCAGUUCCAAUCAAAACUAUCAGAGUGAACAAAGUAAUACCCUUCAAGAAGCUAAAUAUAUAGAACAAAACAUCCCACCCAUGAGCAGUACCAGUUUUCUUAAUAUACGAUUUAUCCUCAGCCUCACACAGCAAAUUCAAUGCUUUCAAGAUCACAACAGCAAGCAUAAAGAAAUGAAUUCCAUAAACAGAUAAUCUUUUCUUGUAAAGAGCAAAAACCCAAAAAGCCCCCAUCAACACAUAAACUACGAAAAACAAAUAGUAAAUCGCUGGAAGAGCAGUCUUGCCUGCCGACAGAAAAUCAAGCUGCCCACUUUUCGGGUUAAAAUUGUACAUAACCGAGUGAACAUUCAUCGAAACCACCAAAUUAGGCAUGCAAUUGGCAAAAACAAGAGUGAAUUGAUUCGCAUCAGAUACACUAAACGAAGUUGUGAAUUGACGCGCAGAGGGUUGCAAUUGAUCAAAAGUGAAAACCCUUUUGACGAGAUCUGAAUGGAGAGUACACCGGAUAUCACCAUCUUGAAGUUGCUCAAGAACAUGCUGCCAAGCUUCACGGGUGACGAGGAAGAAACCCAAUUCGGAUAGAACGGGUUCGGGUCCGGAUUUGGGGUUGGAGAAUGAGAUAUCGGUGACAGUGAGAUUGAGACGGCCGAAAUGGGUGUACCCAAAUUCGUCAAAAGGGAUGGUAGAACGAGAACCGGAUCGGAUCUGGGUGGAUCGGAUCUCUGCGAUGGCGGUGGCAAUCAAGAGAAGAAAGACUAAAGAGAAAAGUGAAGAAUUGUAUAGAGCAGCCAUGUUUUUGGAAUUGAUGAGAAGUGAGAAGAGGAAGAAGAAAGAUCAGCUGCAACUGUAAGAAGUGAAAAUGCGAAUGGACUUUGUGGUAUUUGAGGUAGACUACAAAGUCUACAACACAAUAAAUUCAAGAUCCAUCUUUGGACUUUGUAAAGUGUAGGUGGAAAUGGACACCAUUAAGA
rnacentral:misc_RNA from 1 species